rnacentral:rRNA from 1 species
GACGAACGCUGGCGGCGUGCCUAAUACAUGCAAGUAGAACGCUGAAGGAGGAGCUUGCUUCUCUGGAUGAGUUGCGAACGGGUGAGUAACGCGUAGGUAACCUGCCUGGUAGCGGGGGAUAACUAUUGGAAACGAUAGCUAAUACCGCAUAAUAGUAGAUGUUGCAUGACAUUUGCUUAAAAGGUGCAAUUGCAUCACUACCAGAUGGACCUGCGUUGUAUUAGCUAGUUGGUGGGGUAACGGCUCACCAAGGCGACGAUACAUAGCCGACCUGAGAGGGUGAUCGGCCACACUGGGACUGAGACACGGCCCAGACUCCUACGGGAGGCAGCAGUAGGGAAUCUUCGGCAAUGGACGGAAGCCUGACCGAGCAACGCCGCGUGAGUGAAGAAGGUUUUCGGAUCGUAAAGCUCUGUUGUAAGAGAAGAACGAGUGUGAGAGUGGAAAGUUCACACUGUGACGGUAUCUUACCAGAAAGGGACGGCUAACUACGUG